rnacentral:rRNA from 1 species
UACGGGAGACAGCAGUGGGGAAUAUUGCACAAUGGGCGCAAGCCUGAUGCAGCCAUGCCGCGUGUAUGAAGAAGGCCUUCGGGUUGUAAAGUACUUUCAGCAGUGAGGAAGGUGGGUAUGUUAAUAGCAUACUCAUUUGACGUUAGCUGCAGAAGAAGCACCGGCUAACUCCGUGCCAGCAGCCGCGGUAAUACGGAGGGUGCGAGCGUUAAUCGGAAUUACUGGGCGUAAAGCGCAUGCAGGUGGUUUGUUAAGUCAGAUGUGAAAGCCCGGGGCUCAACCUCGGAAUUGCAUUUGAAACUGGCAAACUAGAGUACUGUAGAGGGGGUAGAAUUUCAGGUGUAGCGGUGAAAUGCGUAGAGAUCUGAAGGAAUACCGGUGGCGAAGGCGGCCCCCUGGACAGAUACUGACACUCAGAUGCGAAAGCGUGGGGAGCAAACAGGAUUAGAUACCCUGGUAG